GUUUAAGCAGCCGCGGUAAUACGUAGGUGGCAAGCGUUGUCCGGAUUUAUUGGGUUUAAAGGGUGCGUAGGCGGUCCUAUAAGUCAGUGCUGAAAUAUCCCGGCUUAACCGGGAGGGUGGCAUUGAUACUGCAGGACUUGAGUAAAGUUGAGGUUGGCGGAAUUGACGGUGUAGCGGUGAAAUGCUUAGAUAUCGUCAAGAACACCUAUUGCGAAGGCAGCUAACUAAGCUUUAACUGACGCUGAGGCACGAAAGUGUGGGGAUCAAACAGGAUUAGAAACCCUGGUAGUCC
rnacentral:rRNA from 1 species